UCUUGUUGCAAACAGUCCCCGGUGACAGCACCCGACAAGGCUGCUCUUUAAUCCCCUGCUGACAUUCCUUCUCCCAGCCUUGGACGGGGAAACUGGGGCACAGAGAUGCCAAGCUCUUGCCUAGAGCCAGCCACCAAGGAGCAGGCCUCCUGCACCUGCUGGAUGUGGACUCUGGGCCCGCAGGUGAGUGCUCCGUGGCCAGCCUCUGAGCAGUGGGAAUGGGAGCUGGCCCGGGUGCUGGCCCGGGUGCUGGCACGGGUGCGGGCAGGGGUGGCGUGCAAGCCCCCGUCUCUCUGGAGCACCCAGCUGAGCCCCACUUCCACCCCCUCCCUCUGCCCCAGUCCCUCUCUCCUGGCCAAAUUCCCUGCAUCACUGUGACCUUCUCAGGUGCCUCAAAGCCCUUGUCCCAGCUGGCCGGUUCUCCCUCUGGAUCUGUGGCUGUUGGGGUGACAUCUUCACGAGACCGUCAGCCCCAAGGGGCUGGACACCGGGCCUGGCUCAGCGCAGCCCUGGCACAGAGUAGGUGCUCAGCCAAGUACAUACUGAUGAAUGAAGAAAGGAAGAACAAAUGAAUGUGAACAUGCCUGUGUCACUGGCACCCAGACUGAGACCUGGAUUGUGACCACCCCCUCCCCGUUGCCUGUCCCAGCCCUGAAAAGAUGCUAUGCUGACUUCUCUCAGCAUCCAUCCGGACCUGAAGAGCUGUGACAUCUCUCCUUUAUACGUGUGGUCCUUGGGAUAUCAGCAUGAUGACUGAGGGAUUUCCUGGUGGCUGUGGUCCAUGUGAUCCAUGUGGUAGGCGAUAAGGGUGGGCACCAUGCUCAGAGGGAAUGACGAGGCUUCUUGAAGGGCUGAUUCUCUUGUGUUCUGGCUCUUCCAGGCCAGGCAGCCCGUGAGAGCCUGAGUUUCCUUCUCUGGUUUGGAGGCAAGCCUUGGGGGGCAGAGAACCAACGAGAUGGCUGCGAGGAGGCUCUGUGCUAUGUCUCUCUUCUCAGUGCCUGAUCGGCUGGCUCUGCAGCUGUCUACAGUCAGGCCCCAGCCCCCAUCUCUGGGGCAGCAGGGAGACUGAUCCCUCAGGGAACAUCAUGCAGACUUUAUAGAGAACCGCGCCCCAAACAAGAGCAAGUCUCCCCCAGGGCCUGUGGGGUUCCGACACUGAGCCCAGAACUUGCAGGGGAUGGUGGCCCAGGCUCAGCAGGAAUCCUCUCCCCAUAGCACUGGGUACCCCAGAGUCACAGAGCCCCUUUAGAAGUGUGCUAGUUGAGGCAUAGCACACUAUGGUCAGGGGAAGGUUCUAGAUGAGGGAUUCUUGGACUGGUAAAGCACACCCACCACACCUGGACUGGAAGGUGAGCAGGAGCGGUGUGGAUGGGUGGGCCUCGCAGUUGGAUUCCACCAGGUACAAGUGCCUGCAGCCCCCCUCGGUCAAGCAAACAGAGGGAGGAAGCCACCCCAUGAACAGUGACUCUGGAACCACCAAAGGGAGGAAAGAGUGUGACGUCAUGGAGGGCAGGUAACUGACCUGGCUGCCCCCGCCCUGCCCACCCCAGGGCUGAAGGA